rnacentral:rRNA from 1 species
UACGAGGGGGCAAGCGUUGUUCGGAAUUAUUGGGCGUAAAGGGCGCGUAGGCGGUUUGACAAGUCUGAUGUGAAAUCUCUGGGCUCAACCCAGAGUCUGCAUUAGAAACUGUCGGGCUUGAGUAUGGGAGAGGUGAGUGGAAUUUCCGGUGUAGCGGUGAAAUGCGUAGAUAUCGGAAGGAACACCUGUGGCGAAAGCGGCUCACUGGACCAUAACUGACGCUGAGGCGCGAAAGCUAGGGGAGCAAACAGGG